rnacentral:rRNA from 1 species
UACGUAGGUGGCAAGCGUUGUCCGGAAUUAUUGGGCGUAAAGCGCGCGCAGGCGGUCCUUUAAGUCUGAUGUGAAAGCCCACGGCUCAACCGUGGAAGGUCAUUGGAAACUGGGGGACUUGAGUGCAGAAGAGGAAAGUGGAAUUCCAAGUGUAGCGGUGAAAUGCGUAGAGAUUUGGAGGAACACCAGUGGCGAAGGCGACUUUCUGGUCUGUAACUGACGCUGAGGCGCGAAAGCGUGGGAGCGAACAGG